rnacentral:tRNA from 1 species
UUUUUUUAAUAUAAUAAGUAUAUCUGAUUUCCAAUCAGAAAGUCUAACUUUUAGAAAAAAUA